rnacentral:rRNA from 1 species
UGGGGAAUAUUGCACAAUGGGCGCAAGCCUGAUGCAGCCAUGCCGCGUGUAUGAAGAAGGCCUUCGGGUUGUAAAGUACUUUCAGCGGGGAGGAAGGGAGUAAAGUUAAUACCUUUGCUCAUUGACGUUACCCGCAGAAGAAGCACCGGCUAACUCCGUGCCAGCAGCCGCGGUAAUAUGGAGGGUGCAAGCGUUAAUCGGAAUUACUGGGCGUAAAGCGCACGCAGGCGGUUUGUUAAGUCAGAUGUGAAAUCCCCGGGCUAAACCUGGGAACUGCAUCUGAUACUGGCAAGCUUGAGUCUCGUAGAGGGGGGUAGAAUUCCAGGUGUAGCGGUGAAAUGCGUAGAGAUCUGGAGGAAUACCGGUGGCGAAGGCGGCCCCCUGGACGAAGACUGACGCUCAGGUGCGAAAGCGUGGGGAGCAAACAGG